GUUGCUGUAGCCUAUACAGUCUGGCAUUGAAAUUGCCAAAAUGGGACUUAGCUCUUCCCCAGCAAUA
rnacentral:tRNA from 1 species